rnacentral:rRNA from 2 species
GGUAAAAAAAAGGUAAGCUACUAAGAGCGAAUGGUGGAUGCCUUGACUGGUAAAGGCGAUGAAGGACGUACUAGACUGCGAUAAGCUACGGGGAGCUGUCAAGAAGCUUUGAUCCGUAGAUUUCCGAAUGGGGCAACCCAAUGUAUAGAGAUAUACAUUACCUAUAUAGGAGCGAACGAGGGGAAUUGAAACAUCUUAGUACCCUCAGGAAAAGAAAUCAAUAGAGAUUGCGUCAGUAGCGGCGAGCGAAAGCGCAAGAGGGCAAACCCAGUGCUUGCACUGGGGGUUGUAGGACUGCAAUGUGCAAGAGCUGAGUUUAGCAGAACAUUCUGGAAAGUAUAGCCAUAGAGGGUGAUAGUCCCGUAUGCGAAAAACAAAGCUUAGCUAGCAGUAUCCUGAGUAGGGCGGGACACGAGAAAUCCUGUCUGAAUCCGGGUCGACCACGAUCCAACCCUAAAUACUAAUACCAGAUCGAUAGUGCACAAGUACCGUGAGGGAAAGGUGAAAAGAACUGAGGUGAUCAGAGUGAAAUAGAACCUGAAACCAUUUGCUUACAAUCAUUCAGAGCACUAUGUAGCAAUACAGUGUGAUGGACUGCCUUUUGCAUAAUGAGCCUGCGAGUUGUGGUGUCUGGCAAGGUUAAGCAAACGCGAAGCCGUAGCGAAAGCGAGUCUGAAUAGGGCGCUUAGUCAGAUGCUGCAGACCCGAAACGAAGUGAUCUAUCCAUGAGCAAGUUGAAGCUAGUGUAAGAACUAGUGGAGGACUGAACCCAUAGGCGUUGAAAAGCCCCGGGAUGACUUGUGGAUAGGGGUGAAAGGCCAAUCAAACUUCGUGAUAGCUGGUUCUCUCCGAAAUAUAUUUAGGUAUAGCGUUGUGUCGUAAUAUAAGGGGGUAGAGCACUGAAUGGGCUAGGGCAUACACCAAUGUACCAAACCCUAUCAAACUCCGAAUACCUUAUAUGUAAUCACAGCAGUCAGGCGGCGAGUGAUAAAAUCCGUCGUCAAGAGGGAAACAACCCAGACUACCAGCUAAGGUCCCUAAAUCUUACUUAAGUGGAAAACGAUGUGAAGUUACUUAAACAACCAGGAGGUUGGCUUAGAAGCAGCCAUCCUUUAAAGAAAGCGUAAUAGCUCACUGGUCUAGUGAUUUUGCGCGGAAAAUAUAACGGGGCUAAAGU